GAGAGUUGAGUGGGAGAACAGUAUGAGUUUCAGAAAUAUGUUGAAAGUGAGUUUCUUAAUGUUGCUUGCCAUGGCUUUGGCAGCAACUAGUGUUCAUGCUCGCUUAGACCUAUUUGGCCAGCUGCUUACCUCCAAGAACCAACCAGACCCUAAUGCUGAAUGCCAGCGAAUUCCAUAUCUACUGUGCAUCCGCAUCUGUGACGCUUGCAUUUGCGAUAAGCGUGCUGCAGAAUUUGCAGAGUGCACUUGUGCAGGGUGGAAACCAACUGCAGAACUCCAGAAAUCUGAUAUGUAGAAAAAAUUGCGUACAAAAUUUGACUUGGUCUCCAAACUAGUUUCGAAAUCAGUGGGAGGCUUUAUUUCAUAUCCGGAAUUCAUUGAAAUAUGUGAUGAGUGUGUAAUUUGUACAUGGAGAAAGUAUUGUACUAUUGUGAUAAAAAGAUUGCUUUCAACACCAAGAAACCAGUAAUUCAAUAUGCGGGAGAUGUAGGCAUAGCCCUCCCAAUCGAGCUUGUGAACUAGAUAGCUAACUUAGCUGCUAGCUGUCCGAUCUUCCCCGAAUGGUCGAUCGAGUUCAAUGAUUAAAACAAGAAAUAAAUAAAUAAUAAAAAAAAGCUAUAUAUUUACUCCUUCUGAUGAUGCCCCAGAAUUCCUUUUUGUUAAGGCUAGUUUCUCUGUAGAUUAAGCUUGCUAUGCCUAUAUGCAUGUAAGCGGCCUUAUGUUGUACGCUGCUUGUCAGUUUCGAUCAGCUAAGCUUGUUAAGAAAUAAAGUUUACGAGCUUUAGCAUUACAUUGAUCCUUAGUCUUUUGCGAGGCCAUUGCGAAGCUGUUUCUAGCAUUAUUCAAAUAAAGAACCUGUUUUGUUAA